UUCCUUUCAGCAAGCAUUAGGGUUUUAAAUCCUAAACUGAGCUUUUCCAUGUAAUCAGCAUUAGGGUUUUAAACCCUAAACUGAAUUUUCCUUUUAGUCAGCAUUAGGGUUUUAAACCCUAAACUGAACUUUUUUUCCAUUCAGCCAGCAUUAGGGUUUUAAACCCUAAACUGAGCUUUUUCCAUGUAAUCAUCAUUAGGGUUUUAAACCCUAAACUGAACUUUUUUCCAUUCAGCCAGCAUUAGGGUUUUAAACCUAAACUGAGCUUUUCCAUGCAAUCAGCAUUAGGGUUUUAAACCCUGAACUGAAUUUUUCCUUUAGUCAGCAUUAGGGUUUUAAACCCUAAAACUGAAUUUUUCCUUUAGUCAGCAUUAGGGUUUUAAACCCUAAACUGAAU
rnacentral:lncRNA from 1 species